CAUCUCAUCCCGCCCCAAAUCCCCCAGAUUAGGGUUUCGAUUCCUUCGCUUCAAUUGCGACGGCGCCGCCGGCGUCGAGAGAAGUAGACUUAUGGCGGGUCCGGUGACGGUGAAGGAGAAGAUCGAUCUCACUGAGAAAGAGGAGAAUUUCAAGCGCUUGCUCGAUGUUUUGAAGCACUUCGAGUUGGGAACUCAGCUUCGAGUCGUCGGCGGUUGGGUUCGCGAUAAGGGUUUGGUGAUUUUGAUGAAUUCUUAGCUAAUUCAAGUAAGGAGCGCUUGUCUCAUCUCAAAGGUUUUGGGCUCAUAUCGUGAUGGCAUAUGAAUUACUCUU